CCAAUUUCUCAUUGGUAACUCAUAGCUGAAAGAAUGGUGAGGUUGUUUUUUGUUUUUUCCCCUUUACCUGGGGAUAUCCAACUAUUCUAAAGAAAUGUGGACUUAAUUAAUAAGAAGGGAAUACUUACUAGCCAAUUUAUAGUUCUCUCAUCUCAUUUUAUAUGAGAAAAUUAUUAUAGAAAAUUUAAGCAACUUUGCAGACAUUCCUCAAUCCAGGAAACGGUGAAGCUGGAAGUUUGCUCUACUCGCUAGAGCACCUGUCUUGAGAGAGAGAAAGAGCAAGGAAAAAGGAUGAAGCUUCAGGCAGACAAUGUUUUUACUUGUUAAUAAUAAUCAGAAAUGAAAAGGAGGAAAAGUAGAGAUAAAGAAACUGAAGUUCAGAGAAGUUAUUUUUGUCAAGAUUACAUGCAUGGAGAAUCAUCAGUCUGAGAAUGAGGCUAGGGUCUUAUGACUCCUCAACAAUACUGGGACUCUUUAUAAUGUUCUAAGCAAUCCAUUUAUUUUCUGUGGAGCAAAUUUUUAUAAAGAAUUAUUCUUAUAUCUACAAUAAAGGUAAUGAAUCCUUAUAGAUCAAAAAAGUGUUUUUGGAAAGUUCAGAACUUUUUGUUCUGGCUUCUUAGUAUAUGUUUAAUGCUUUAUUUUGAAGUAGAUUUGUAAUGAAGAUU
ensembl:lncRNA